CCUCCUCAGCCAUUGGUCGAGGUUGAGGUUCCGUUUGCGUACUUCUUGUCAAGCUUUUUUUUUUUUACCUUCUCCCAUCGGUUGUGAAAUUCUCCUUGUUUGUCUGACAUAAUAUGUUAUAUAAAAUUAUGUUUUUAUGUUUUUAUUUAUUGUUUGGCUUCAGCUGGUGCAGGAUGUCGACACGAAUUGUUUUUCGCCAAACAAUCUGGAAAUUUUCCCGGGUCACGUUUUAAUAUGUACAAAACAGUUUUGUGAAUUACUUAUUGGAGGAAUAUAAUAUUAUAUAUUCAUAUUAAUAAAAUAAUAUUACGAUAUAGAGGAAAAGAACCUGCAGUGAGUUUGGACCGUCCACGUCGGCUGUAGUGAAGUUUCUGCAGGAAGAGGAUGAGAUGAGAGCACGGGUCACAUUAAUGACACAGCUGUGAUCACCAGCCAUGUGACGAACAAUACGAUAUGUAAAUAAAUUAAUGUUUCAUCAUCUGGAAA